rnacentral:tRNA from 11 species
CCGACCUUAGCUCAGUUGGUAGAGCGGAGGACUGUAGUUGGUUCGCAGAUAAUCCUUAGGUCGCUGGUUCGAAUCCGGCAGGUCGGA